AAUGUUACGAGGGAGCGAUGCCUCCAGGUACUCCCCUCCAUGCAAAAAAACGGACGAAAAUAAACCGAUGAAAGAAAACCAGCGAAAAAAAUCCGUCUUGGACUGGCAACGUGCGAACGAGCGAGCGAGCAAGCGAAGCCUCCAGGUCCCUUCGCCGUUGCCCUCGCACAUCAAGCCGCCGCCCUCGCCCUCGCCCUCGCAGCCGCCGCCGAUCCCCUCCCCCAUCUUCCUCCCUCAAACGCUAACCCGUCUCGCGGUGCGCCACCGCCCGUCGCGGCCGCCCCCGCCACCUCCCGCCGCGCCGCCGCCCCACCUCCAGCCGUGGCCGUCGCGCCCAGAUCCAGCGGCGGCUGCCGCCCCACCUCCAGCCGCGGCCGCCCCACCUCCAGUCGCGGCCGCCGCCCCCACGUCCCACCGCGGCCGCUGCCCGCGCCAACGACCCCUUCCUCCGCCGCCGCGCCACGGGUCCACUUCGCCAUGAGCUCCAGCGCCGACCAUCCCAAAGCUGCUCGUGAUCCCCUUUUCCAUCAGCUCCACUUCACCGGAACCGAAAAUCAGCCAAGAUACGCAACAAACAUAUCAGCCGCAGCUAGCUGCUAUACGCACAUGUGCAAAAACAAACUUAUUAAUCCUUUGCCGUAGACAAUACUGAAGCACUAACACAAACAAGAUCCUUCUGAAGAUAGUCUCUGAAUGCAAAUGAUCAUGACUUAUGAAUUUGGAGCCAUGGCCCAUGUGUAGGCAAGGGCAAUGAUCCCUUUUACUACUUGAGCGGUCCAACAGAGAUUAUUGAAGGUUGUUUCUGAAGUUGUGAUUGACUGGAACCAUUGCUUGGAUUAAGUGGGAGUGAAGAUGUUCUUUCUAUCUAUAUCUGGUUCUAUUAUUGGCAAAUUUGUGCCUUCGAGAUUGCUGCGAGUGUUUGUGUUCCCGAGCUGAAAAUUUAGAUUAUUACCAUGUUUGGUCUCCUAAAUAUAAAUCAUGAUUCUUUGCAUCUCAAUUGCAGACCAGCAGACCUUUCCGUCCUCAUAUUCCCCGGAUUCGUUUUCUGCGAUCGAGCGCCCGAGCGGUUGCAUCUCGACGGCAGUUCCCUUUACAACCGAGUUAGCUUUAUACUAUGAGCAGUGAGCAAGUCAUGUAUAAAGCAAAAACAAAGUAUUAGUCUGCUAUCAAAUGGUACAUUUAUUUGAACUCUAAGGGCAGGUUCAGGGUCUCAUGAAGAGGGCAUGUGUUUGUAUUAGAUCAGAAGAUUUUGCAGUUGACAAGCUUACAGGUUUGAGCACCCCGAACAACGGGGUGGGCCCUUUGACCUGUGGGUUUUGCUGGUACCAAGAGAAGGAGGUUCCUUUUAACCUGCAGGAGCUCUGCCAAUGGCAGCGUGCUUUCCUUGACAAUGACGUGGUACUGCACGUACGCAAGAUGCAGCGAGUGAAAUCGGCGCAAGAGGGCAUCUUGCAAGCAGCACCAAAUCCUAUAUUAUGGGACCGAGUCAAAUGUGGCUCGGUGAUAGAAUUAAGCAUGAAGGAGGAAGAUACCAGCCCCAGCCCCGGCAAUAAAGACUGCGGCAACGGCGACGGCAGUGUGUCCCGGCGAGUGUGAGCAAUGGCAGCAUCAUCUCUGACUCCGAGUACCUGACCAAGACGCUGCCCAGGUCACAUGUCAAGGACUUCCUCUUGGACGAUGCUGCCUCCUUGGCUGUUGUUGUCGUCUCCUCAAAUAAGUUGUAUCAGGGCCUGCUGAUGAUGACGUUUUUGGGCCGACAUGAACCUGAUGUUCUUGAUGUGGAUGAUGUAGCAGGCAAUGGCCACACCGGCCAAGGGUCAACAACAUGAGCAAGUGAACCAGACGCUACUAUUGGGGAUGGCUGAGACACUACAAGACAUAUUUUAUCAUAUUAUAGGCUAAUCUUCGCUGUUUGCACAGUUUGUGAUUUAAUCAUUCACCCAACUGGUAGGAUCUGAGUCUGGAGGACUCCAUACCAUGGCAUUUAAUCUUCUUACAUGUUGGAAUUUCCUUGCAACAACUGAUGGCUGAUAAAAAGAAGUUACAGUUUAAUCGAAGGGAGAAUGAAAAUUUCAAUAUUGGCAUCCUUAUAUAAGGCCUUCUAUGUCUUUUUUCUAAGGCCACAAACAAGAAAACAUGCAGUCGUCUUAUGGCCGUGGGCUGGAGGGCGGCGUGCAAGGACAACCAAGAAGAUCACAUCCACCUACUUUUGGCUGUUUGUGUCACUCUUCUUUGGUGAAUCAUUCCAAUCAUUUCGUUGAGGCUCUGCAUCCCAUCUGAAUGGAUACCAACAAAAGCAGUGUUUAGUCCAUCGCUGAAUUGUAUUGCCCUUUGCUUCUGGGUAUAGAACUAGAUAUCACAUGGACCUCUCCCUGGAAGCAAUCAAACAUUUUUGACUCGUGAGGUCAAUGGUGCCAAGCUUACAAGUUAAUGUAGGAAAGUUAAUAGGAACUAUACAAAUGAAGUCAGAGUUUAGUUAAAACUUCAUAAACAUUUCUCGUAGCUAAUGUAUUUUGUCUUAUGUACUAUAUCUUGUCGUGUUUUUAUGUAAUUGGGCUCUUUUGUUGUGAAAAAAAUUAGAUGUGUUUUCUCUCUUCUCCUUUCAGUCCAUCAAACUAAUCCAUGAUAUAUAUGUAGUUCUCUCAUGGAUGAGCGACCACCUAAAGGUGUUGUAUAGUUCUUCCAUUCUUCAGUGAAACAUUACAUUGAUUUUCUAUGGCCUUGUAGUUAAUUUUUGUGAUUGAGAUAGUUACUACCAAAGGUGUUAUUCUUUUGGUCAGGUUGCAGAUUUGGC
rnacentral:rRNA from 1 species